UACAGAGGGGGCGAGCGUUAUUCGGAAUUAUUGGGCGUAAAGGGCGCGUAGGCGGCCAUUCAAGUGACGGGUGAAAGCCCUCGGCUUAACCGAGGAACUGCCUGUCAGACUGGAUGGCUCGAGACCGGGAGAGGUGAGUGGAAUUCCCAGUGUAGCGGUGAAAUGCGUAGAUAUUGGGAGGAACACCAGUGGCGAAGGCGGCUCACUGGACCGGAACUGACGCUGAGGCGCGAAAGCGUGGGGAGCAAACAGG
rnacentral:rRNA from 1 species